rnacentral:lncRNA from 1 species
AUUCAUAUGGGUAAUUCAUCAUGAACUACCAUAUGAAUAAGAUUGAUAGCACUUUGCUUAAAUUACUAAACAUGCUAGUAACAGCUAAGGAUACCAUGAAAAGUUCAAGAUAUACAAUUCUAACUAUGGAGUAGGCUUCCUCUAAAAGAAAGUCUUCUUUCAAGAAGAAGAAGAAGCUUGUGAAGAAGCAAAAGAAUGAGGCCAAACCCAAGAAGCAAGUUUCAAAGGUUGACAAUAAAGGAAAGUGUUUCCAUGAUAAUGUCGAAGGCCACU